CCUGCUAGCCGUGACGUUAACAACAGAAGAAGCACCGGCUAACUCCGUGCCAGCAGCCGCGGUGGGUGCGAGCGUUAAUCGGAAUUACUGGGCGUAAAGCGCACGCAGGCGGUUUGUUAAGCUAGAUGUGAAAACCUCGGUCAUUUAGAACUGGCAGACUAGAGUCUUGGAGAGGGGAGUGGAAUUCCAGGUGUAGCGGUGAAAUGCGUAGCUGGAGGAACAUCAGAGGCGACUGGCGCUCAUGUGCGAAAGUGUGGGUAGCGAACAGGAUUAGAUACCCUGGUAGUCCACACCGUAAACGCUGUCUACUAGCUGUUGGCUUUAAGCCGUGAGUAGCGAAGCUAAGUAGACCGCCUGGGGAGUACGGCCGCAAGGUUAAAACUCAAAUGAAUUGACGGGGGGCGGUGGAGCAUGUGGUUUAAUUCGAUGCAACGCGAAGAACCUUACCUACACUUGACAUGUUGAGAAGUUAGAGAUGGUUUCGUGCCUUCGGGAACUCAAACAUGCUGCAUGGCUGUCGUCAGCUCGUGUCGUGGUUGGGUUAAGUCCCGCAACGAGCGCAACCCUUGUCCUUAUAGUUGGCACUCUAAGGACUGCCGGUGACAAACCGGAGGAAGGUAGUCAU
rnacentral:rRNA from 1 species